CCUACGGGAGGCAGCAGUGAGGAAUAUUGGUCAAUGGGCGCGAGCCUGAACCAGCCAAGUAGCGUGAAGGAUGACUGCCCUACGGGUUGUAAACUUCUUUUAUAAAGGAAUAAAGUGAGGCACGUGUGCCUUUUUGUAUGUACUUUAUGAAUAAGGAUCGGCUAACUCCGUGCCAGCAGCCGCGGUAAUACGGAGGAUCCGAGCGUUAACCGGAUUUAUUGGGUUUAAAGGGAGCGUAGAUGGGUUGUUAAGUCAGUUGUGAAAGUUUGCGGCUCAACCGUAAAAUUGCAAUUGAUACUGGCAGUCUUGAGUACAGUUGAGGUAGGCAGAAUUCGUGGUGUAGCGGUGAAAUGCGUAGAGAUCACGAAGAACUCCGAUUGCGAAGGCAGCUUACUAAACAGCCACUGACAUUGAGGCGCGAAAGUGUGGGUAGCAAACAGGAUUAGAUACCCCAGUAGUC
rnacentral:rRNA from 1 species